AGAGUUUGAUCAUGGCUCAGGAUGAACGCUGGCGGCGUGCUUAACACAUGCAAGUCGAACGUGAGGAUGCAGCAAUGUAUCUGAAAGUGGCGGACGGGUGAGUAACACGUGGGUGACCUGCCUUGUAGUGGGGGAUAACCAUGGGAAACUGUGGCUAAUACCGCAUGUCUUGAUGGGAGUGGAUUCCAUCAGGUAAAGCUUUAGUGCUACGAGAGGGGCCUGCGGUCGAUUAGGUAGUUGGUGAGGUAACGGCUCACCAAGCCGAUGAUCGAUAGCUGGUCUGAGAGGACGAUCAGCCACACGGGAACUGAGAGACGGUCCCGACUCCUACGGGGGGCAGCAGUGAGGAAUAUUGGGCAAUGGGCGCAAGCCUGACCCAGCAACGCCGCGUGAAGGAUGAAGGCCCUUGGGUUGUAAACUUCUUUUGCAGGGGAAGAGAGCGGACGGUACCCUGAGAAUAAGUCACGGCUAACUACGUGCCAGCAGCCGCGGUAAUACGUAGGUGACAAGCGUUAUCCGGAAUUACUGGGCGUAAAGCGCACGCAGGCGGCCGAGAAAGUCUGACGUGAAAUCUCCCGGCUUAACCGGGAGCGGUCGUUGGAAACUACUUGGCUUGAGGCGAUGAGAGGGGUGUGGAAUUCCCGGUGUAGUGGUGGAAUGCGUAGAUAUCGGGAGGAACAUCAGUGGCGAAAGCGGCACCCUGGCAUUAGCCUGACGCUCAGGUGCGAAAGCGUGGGGAGCGAACGGGAUUAGAUACCCCGGUAGUCCACGCCGUAAACGAUGAACACUAGGUGUGGGUGGUCUCAAAAUCAUCUGUGCCGAAGUAAACGCGAUAAGUGUUCCGCCUGGGGAGUACGGCCGCAAGGCUAAAACUCAAAGGAAUUGACGG
rnacentral:rRNA from 1 species